AGCAUGUGGUUUAAUUUCGAUGAUACGCGAGGAACCUUACCUGGGCUCGAACGUAAGAUGACCGUAGGUGAAAGCUUACAUCUCUUCGGAGCAUUUUACGAGGUGCUGCAUGGUUGUCGUCGGCUCGUGCCGUGAGGUGUCGGGUUAAGUCCCAUAACGAGCGCAACCCUACCUUUAGUUGCCAUCAGGUAAUGCUGGGGACUCUAAAGGAACUGCCUACGCAAGUAGUGAGGAAGGCGGGGAUGACGUCAAAUCAGCACGGCCCUUACGUCCAGGGCUACACACGUGCUACAAUGGCCGAUACAGAGGGCAGCUACCUGGUGACAGGAUGCAAAUCUCCAAAGUCGGUCUCAGUUCGGAUCGGAGUCUGCAACCCGACUCCGUGAAGUUGGAUUCGCUAGUAAUCGCGCAUCAGCCAUGGCGCGGUGAAUACGUUCCCGGGCCUU
rnacentral:rRNA from 1 species